CCUACGGGUGGCAGCAGUCGAGAAUCAUACACAAUGGGGGAAACCCUGAUGGUGCGACGCCGCGUGGGGGAAUGAAGGUCUUCGGAUUGUAAACCCCUGUCAUGUGGGAGCAAAUUAAAAAGAUAGUACCACAAGAGGAAGCGACGACUAACUCAGUGUCAGCAGCCGCGGUAAUACAGAGGUCUCAAGCGUUGUUCGGAAUCACUGGGCGUAACGCGUGCGUAGGCUGUUUCGUAAGUCGUGUGUGAAAGGCGCGGGCUCAACCCGCGGACGGCACAUGAUACUGCGAGACUAGAGUAAUGGAGGGGGAACCGGAAUUCCCGGUGUAGCAGUGAAAUGCGUAGAUAUCGAGAGGAACACUCGUGGCGAAGGCGGGUUCCUGGACAUUAACUGACGCUGAGGCACGAAGGCCAGGGGAGCGAAAGGGAUUAGAUACCCUUGUAGUC
rnacentral:rRNA from 1 species